rnacentral:rRNA from 1 species
UACGAAGGGGGCUAGCGUUGUUCGGAAUUACUGGGCGUAAAGAGCGCGCAGGCGGUUGAUUAAGUCGAAUGUGAAAGCCCCCGGCUCAACUGGGGAGGGUCAUUCGAUACUGAUUGACUUGAAGGCAGGAGAGAGAAGUGGAAUUCCCGGUGUAGUGGUGAAAUGCGUAGAUAUCUGGAGGAACACCGGUGGCGAAGGCGGCAUCCUGGACCAACACUGACGCUGAGUGAGCGAAAGCCAGGGGAGCAAACGGG